GGAAAUAAUAACUGAGUUGUUUGGUCUUGGCUAACGCGCAGCUACAACAGAGAGCAGCUAUCUCACCGUGUGUGUCAGAAAAACAUGCGGAACGAGACAUAGGAGGCGGCGAGGGGACCGCCGAUCGACCGGUGGUAGAUCGUGGAUCAGGCAAACCUAAGGCAGGAGCGUGAGGUGAACUGAAUUUCAGUUUGCGACCCUCACUGCCCAGCCAUUCUCAGUCUGGAGCUAUCCUGCCUAACUCUCCAUGCUACCUCCCUGCUCACCUGCGCUACCUGGGGUCCACGUUGUCCCCACUUCAAUCUCCAGCCUUAAGUACCUCUCCCAAGCGUCUAGUAAAUGUGUGGCAAAUCCAGGCAGAGAGCAAAGGAUGAAAACAUAUUCCCCAUGAUAAUGGUGAACACUCAUCUCUGGUUUCUGACCUGCAUGAAGAUCAAUGUACCGUCAUUAAGCAUCAGUCUCAAACACUGCAUGUUUUAACAGUGCAAUAAUAAAACAGUGUUGACAUUCACAGAUGUCCUACUGUAACACUCAG
ensembl:lncRNA